rnacentral:rRNA from 1 species
AUUGAACGCUGGCGGCAGGCCUAACACAUGCAAGUCGAACGAGUGGCGGACGUGUGAGUUAUGUCUGGGCAACUGCCUGAUGGAGGGGGUUCACUACUGGAAACGAUAGCCACAUCCGCCUUCCAUCGGAUGUGCCCGGAGGGGAUUCGCUAGUGGUGGGGGUAAAGGCUAACCAAGGCGACGAUCCCUAGCUGGUCUGAGAGGAUGACCAGCCACACUGGAACUGAGACACGGUCCAGACUCCUACGGGAGGCAGCAGUGGGGAAUAUUGCACAAUGGGCGCAAGCCUGAUGCAGCCAUGCCGCGUGUAUGAAGAAGGCCUUCGGGUUGUAAAGUACUUUCAGCGGGGAGGCGUUACCCGCAGAAGAAGCACCGGCUAACUCCGUGCCAGCAGCCGCGGUAAUUC